rnacentral:rRNA from 1 species
UGGGGAAUAUUGGACAAUGGGCGAAAGCCUGAUCCAGCCAUGCCGCGUGUGUGAAGAAGGUCUUCGGAUUGUAAAGCACUUUAAGUUGGGAGGAAGGGCAGUAAGCGAAUACCUUGCUGUUUUGACGUUACCGACAGAAUAAGCACCGGCUAACUCUGUGCCAGCAGCGGCGGUAAUACAGAGGGUGCAAGCGUUAAUCGGAAUUACUGGGCGUAAAGCGCGCGUAGGUGGUUCGUUAAGUUGAAUGUGAAAGCCCCGGGCUCAACCUGGGAACUGCAUCCGAAACUGGCGAGCUAGAGUAGGGCAGAGGGUGGUGGAAUUUCCUGUGUAGCGGUGAAAUGCGUAGAUAUAGGAAAGAACACCAGUGGCGAAGGCGACCACCUGGGCUCAUACUGACACUGAGGUGCGAAAGCGUGGGGAGCAAACAGG